rnacentral:lncRNA from 1 species
UUGAUUUUUUGCUGUUACAGACCACAUAACUCAGAUGAGCUAGGUGUUGAAGACUGCUGAACCGGAGAGAGGUGAUCACUACGACGGCUUCGACUUUCCUCCUUUGUUUGUUCCCAAGCCGAGGUGAGAAAGCAAAGUAGCUUCUUUUUGGUGCUCAUUGUCCAGUACAUUAGCGAAUACACACUAACUCCAUAGUAUGUUGCUCCUUAUUGGUCAUUGUCGAGUAGGCCGCCUCCUCUGCUGCUGGUCUUCACAUUAACUAUUAGAGUAGCUCGUUAUGUCUACAAGCUUGACGAUGGAAGCGAGCAAGUUGUUGCCUUCGGCAUUGGCUGAUGAGGUAACACAUGCAGCACCACAACUUGAUGUGGCUGUCACUCCAACAAGGCACAUGAUCACUAUGCCAGCGAGUCUCCAAGGACGUCCCAAUCCAGUGACAAGAAGGAUGUUGGCCAUGGCAUAGGCUGAUGAGGCGUCGCAGAAACCUACCCCAACCGUGGAGGACACCAUUGUUGAGUAACGUGAUUGUAUUAGGAAACAUAGGUUAGACUAGGAAAUAUUCUGGCUUGCCUUGUACUCCAAGUAGAUCAUGUACUCCUAUAUAUAUGCUCAUGAGGCUCAAGCAAUACAAUGAACUAUUCCACCAAUCCCUCUCUCCCUUCUAACAUGGUAUCUAUCGCAAGUCGAUCAUAAACCCUAGCCGCCGCCGCUUCCGCACCCGCGCGUCGCCCCCGGGGCGGUCGACCUCCAUGACCGCCGCCGGGGGCCGCGCCGCCCGUACCUAGGGUUCGUCUACCCCCUUCGUCUUCGUCCAAGCACCAGCCCGUCGCCAGCGUCGCCGUCAUCUACCCCAACCACUUCGUCUACUCCGACCACCGUUGGUGACAUCGGCCCCGCGCCGAUGGACGCCGCAAUCGUCGUCGAGUUCUUCUCUGCUGGCCCCUCCGACUUCUCCGACAUGGCGUACAGCUCGUGCAGGUCCCUCGUUUACGCAUGCCCGGUGCUGGCAACACCGAUGCGUGCCUUCAUCCACGACGUGUCCCCGGGCCUGGCAAGCCUGGUCGGCGCUUCGUCAACUUCGUCUUUGUCCGUCUACGCAUGCCCGGUGCUGGCAACACUGGUGUGUGCCUUCGUCCACGAUGUGUCCCCGGGCUUGGCAAGCCCGCCGCGACGCGUCGUCAACAACAUCUUCUUCCCGGCGCACCACUACUUCGACACCACUGCGCCUAUGACUAACUCGGCGCCUCCUUGCGCCUGCGGCUCCACGGCGACUUCCUCGACACCGGCCACCCCGACUCGACAUCGACCACGGCAUUCUUCGCACGGCUACCUCGACCACGGCUCCACCACACACGCUCUCGGCUACAUCGACAAACGGCACAAAGGGCUACCGCCUGCUUGAGCAACCUCGUUGGUUUCCACUCCAGCCACGACUCCGCGAUGCAUCGACCGUUACGACUGUGGGGGGUGUCCGUCGGCUUGCCUUCGGAUUCUUCUCCAGUCUCACCGUCUGCAUCGCUACCGUUGUGACUGCGGGGGGAUGUUGAGUAACGUGAUUGUAUUAGGAAACAUAGGUUAGACUAGGAAAUAUUCUGGCUUGCCUUGUACUCCAAGUAGAUCAUGUACUCCUAUAUAUAUGUCCAUGAGGCUCAAGCAAUACAAUGAACUAUUCCACCAAUCCCUCUCUCCCUUCUAACAACCAUGAUAGCAUAUGACAUGGCCUCAAGCUCAAAAGCUAGAAUGUCGACCCCGAAGAGAAGGAAGUACUAGUGUUGUGCUUGAUCUUCUCUAUAGUUUUGGUUGUAAUAUGACAAACUUAGCAUCCUUUACUUUGGAUAUAACGUGCCAGCAGCUAUUGUUUGUAACAUGGCAACUACUGUGGCCUUGUGCUUUUGUUUGUAAAACAUGACAGCAAUUAUGGCCUUAUGGUAGAUGGUAUAUAAACAUGUUAAAUGCUUUAUUUUGCUAUAUUAUCUUCAUAUUCUGUCCUGGUGUAUGAAUAUGUCCAUCUGAAAAUAUAUGUUUGAAUUUGGAUGUUGUGCGCAUACAUGUCUUCAAAAGUGAAAAAACAGCCAAAAUGCUGUCCAAAUUGAUCCAAAAUGCUGCCCAAAUUUUGAACAAUUUUUUUGAACCACCUAGAAAAAUUUCAAAGAAUUACAGAAAAUCAUUCAUAUAUGUGUAACUAAUCUGGAAAAGUUCCAUGCAAUUUCGAUCAUCGGUUCAACGGCAAAAUGCAUUUUAACUUUGAGUUUAACUAGUUUAAUCAUAUUUUGGCCGAAAUUUGAAAGUUGUCAGAAAAGUUUCAAAUAAUUUCAAAAAAUCAUUCAUAUAUGUACGACUAGUCUGGGAAAGUUUCAUGCAAUUUGGAUCAUUGGUUCAACGGCAAAAUGCAUUUUGGACUUUGAGCUUAACUAGUUUGACCAUCUUUUGACCGAAAUUUAAAAGUUGUCAGAAAAAAUUCAAAAAAUUACAGUAAAUCAUUCAUAUAUGUGUGACUAAUCUGGGAAGGUUUCACGCAAUUUGGAUCAUUGGUUCAACGGCUCUAUGCAUUUCAGUUUUGACCUUAUGGAGAUGUAUAAUGGAGCUCAUGGGAGCAGCAGGGGCAGCCCGCGUACGUGAGGCAGCAGGAGGUGUCGGGGAAGCUUUUGAGGCAGCAGAGGGCGAAGGCCGCAGGGCAGCAGGAAGGCCCGGCGGGGGAGCAGCAGGGUACACCGGCGGCGGCUGUGGUUAUGUGCAGGGGUUGAUGCACUGAUUUGGAUGGGAAUGGCUAAGGAUGUGCUCUGUUUAGGUCAAACAGGUACAAGGGUACAAUGGUCCUGUAUUUCUUGUACUUAGUUUGUCUAUUAUUUUCAUAAAUUGUUUUUGUGUUGAAAAGUGGCAAAAGAUCAAAGUCCAAAGAAAUAAGUGUCAUCAGAUCAAUUACAAUGUAACUAGUGGCAAAAUGUCAAAGUCCAAAGUAAAGGGUGGCAAAAAAUCAAAUCGCCCCACACAAAGA